UACAGAGGUCCCGAGCGUUGUUCGGAUUCACUGGGCGUAAAGGGUGCGUAGGUGGCAUGGAAAGUUUGAUGUGAAAGCUCAGGGCUUAACCCUGAAAUGGCAUUGAAUACUGCCGUGCUGGAGGUUUGGAGGGGGGACUGGAAUUCUUGGUGUAGCAGUGAAAUGCGUAGAUAUCAAGAGGAACACCAGUGGCGAAGGCGAGUCCCUGGACAACACCUGACGCUGAGGCACGAAAGCUAGGGGAGCAAACAGG
rnacentral:rRNA from 1 species